rnacentral:rRNA from 1 species
CCUACGGGUGGCAGCAGUGGGGAAUAUUGCACAAUGGGCGAAAGCCUGAUGCAGCAACGCCGCGUGAGCGAUGAAGGCCUUCGGGUCGUAAAGCUCUGUCCUCAAGGAAGAUAAUGACGGUACUUGAGGAGGAAGCCCCGGCUAACUACGUGCCAGCAGCCGCGGUAAUACGUAGGGGGCUAGCGUUAUCCGGAAUUACUGGGCGUAAAGGGUGCGUAGGUGGUUUCUUAAGUCAGAGGUGAAAGGCUACGGCUCAACCGUAGUAAGCCUUUGAAACUGGGAAACUAGAGUGCAGGAGAGGUAAGUGGAAUUCCUAGUGUAGCGGUGAAAUGCGUAGAUAUUAGGAGGAACACCGGUGGUGAAGGCGGCUUACUGGACUGUAACUGACGUUGAGGCUCGAAAGCGUGGGGAGCAAACAGGAUUAGAUACCCUUGUAGUC